GGAGUCUGGGCCGUGUCUCAGUCCCAAUGUGGCCGUUCAACCUCUCAGUCCGGCUACUGAUCGUCGCCAUGGUGAGCCGUUACCUCACCAUCUAGCUAAUCAGACGCGAGCCCAUCUUUAAGUGAUAAAUCUUUGAUAUCCAUAAGAUGCCUUACAGAUAUGUUAUAGGGUAUUACCAUCCGUUUCCAGAAGCUAUCCCCCUCUUAAAGGCAGGUUGCUCACGUGUUACUCACCCGUCCGCCACUAAGAUAACGAAUAAAUCCAUUAUCUCCGUUCGACUUGCAUGUGUUAAGCGUGCCGCCAGCGUCGUCCUCGAGCCACGGAGUCAAACUACU
rnacentral:rRNA from 1 species